UACGUAGGUGGCGAGCGUUGUCCGGAAUUACUGGGUGUAAAGGGCGCGUAGGCGGGAUGGCAAGUCGGUCGUGAAAUCCCUCGGCUCAACCGAGGAACGUCGAUCGAUACUGCUGUUCUUGAGGAUUGCAGAGGAGACUGGAAUUCCCGGUGUAGCGGUGAAAUGUGUAGAGAUCGGGAGGAACACCGGUGGCGAAGGCGGUUCUCUGGGCAUUACCUGACGCUGAGGAGCGAAAGUGUGGGGAGCGAACAGG
rnacentral:rRNA from 1 species